rnacentral:rRNA from 1 species
CCUACGGGGGGCAGCAGUGAGGAAUAUUGGUCAAUGGGCGGAAGCCUGAACCAGCCAAGUCGCGUGAGGGAAUAAGGCCCUACGGGUCGUAAACCUCUUUUGCCGGGGAGCAAGGGCCGGGACGAGUCCCGGUCCGGAGAGUACCCGGAGAAAAAGCAUCGGCUAACUCCGUGCCAGCAGCCGCGGUAAUACGGAGGAUGCGAGCGUUAUCCGGAUUUACUGGGUGUAAAGGGCGUGUAGGCGGGAGAGCAAGUCAGAUGUGAAAUUCCAGGGCUCAACCCUGGAACUGCAUUUGAAACUGUUUUGCGUGAGUGAUGGAGAGGCAGGCGGAAUUCCGUGUGUAGCGGUGAAAUGCGUAGAUAUACGGAGGAACACCAGUGGCGAAGGCGGCCUGCUGGACAUUAACUGACGCUGAGGCGCGAAAGCGUGGGGAGCAAACAGGAUUAGAUACCCGGGUAGUC